rnacentral:rRNA from 1 species
CAGCAGCCACGGGAAUACGAACCGUGCGAACGUUAUCCGGAAUUACUAGGCUUAAAGCGCGUGUAGGCGGGCCGGCACGUCCGACGCUGAAAUCCCCCGGCUCAACCGGGGAAGUAGCGGGGAUACGACCGGCCUCGAGGGGGGUAGGGGGACCUGGAACUUCCGGUGGAGCGGUGAAAUGCGUUGAGAUCGGAAGGAACGCCCGUGGCGAAAGCGAGGUCCUGGACCCUUUCUGACGCUGAGACGCGAAAGCCAGGGGAGCGAACGGGAUUAGAUACCCCUGUAGUCCCUGUCUCUUAUA